UCAGGUUGUCAGUGGUUUUUUUGUUUUGUUUUGAUCACAUGAUGAAGACCUCGCUUCCCUGAUGAAGUGAGGCCUGUGUCCUCCCCUUUAAGAGUGCGGUGCAUAAUGGGAGAUAAGGUGUUGCUGUUUUACAGGUGAGCAAGCACAAAAAGUGAAGAAAAGUUAUAGAACCAGAGAACUGCGGUUGGACGUUUUUUUGACGUUUUAAAGUGAUAAAAAGGUUCGGUUCUGAAAGGUGCAACACCUUCUCUUUGUUCAGACGACUGGAGCGGAGUGCGUCAAAACAGUUACCAGCGCAGGGGAGCUUUAAUGGAGUCUCGAAGUUUCCUCUGACCUAUGAGCUGAAAGGUACCGCUUGUGUCUGAGGCGGACGGCAGUAAUUCAACUGAGCCCCUGCUGCUCACGGAGCCCCACGGGACUUGACCCUCCCAACUCGGGUUGGACACAGUAGCGGAAUGCGGAGUGAACAGCCGGUCAUGUUUGAAAUGCCACUUUAUCACUGUGGAAACGUGGUGCCACCCAUCUCCUCCUCCGACAGCCCUCACACAGCUAACAGAUCCUCAGUCAUAUUUAGAAGUAAUGCUGCACCAAACUCUCCAGUGGAGGAAGGCCCUGCAGACUACGUUACAUCACCAUGGCAACAGUUGAGGAGUGAGAGAGAAACGGCCAUCAGACAACAACCCGUCGUCCACCUGUAAAUGUUUGGGCCAAAGUCAGAGCCACGACAAAAAGAAGUUCCAGAAGAAGAUUGAGAGCCAUGAAUGAACCUGGAUAUUUGGCUCUGAACGUUCAUGAGGAGGUUGGAGCUGUUGGCUGGUUUCAGGAGGACGCAGGAAACGCCACGAGAGGGGCUGUGGACGCUGCAUCUCCAUCCUGUGAGGUCUGGGAGGACCUUGCACUCCUCACCCUCCAUACACGGCUGCAUCUGGCACCACCACUUCUGGGCUACGAUGGAGGCUGAAUGAAGACACAGACGUGGGACUCAAUGAACAAAAUAAAGUAAAGAAAACAUCCAUUUUGGAGCCUCGUCCAGCACCACCUCCUCUUCCUCCUCCACCUCCUCUUCCUCCAGGACCUGCCUCAGGGUCAAACGACAACCUGCAACCAGAUAAUGCUGUGACUCCCUGAUUACAACUUACUCCGCAAUCAAUGAACCAUUAACAGGGGCACAUGGUCAGUACACAUGUACACACAUACACACACACAUGCACUCUCUUCCAUGGGACCCAUCAAUGUCAGUCCGUGUCUCAUGCUAAACAGGUACUUACAUUUAUUGGCUCUGACUGUUGGCCACAGACCUGGGAGUGGACUCUCUUUACAGCAGCACCGUUGUUUCUCCUUCAUAUUUCGUUUGCAUAUAUUCACUUUAAACAUGAUGCCAACCUUGACCGCCUUCCAAGCUCAAUUUCCAACCUCCCACGUUCAAUAUAUCUUGGCUCAGUCUUUUAGUGCACAGCUAAACCAUCUCAAACCUCCCUCAACUUUAUCUCCAAAAUACUGAAGAGCGGCUGUAUCUGUGGUCUGCUUGAUUUAAUCCUGUCCUUCUAGAAUAUUCAUACAGUAUAAAUACAUAACAACAGGUCCAUCAACUGGAUAUAAACUUUUCCCUUUCCUCUCCUUUCGUCCUUUUUUCAUCUUCUACACAAGACUCAAUUUUGAGAGACUAUUUUGACUAUUAAUAUAGCACUUUCUGUCUUAUGUCCGUUAAUUGACAUUACGGUUUCACUUUCCAUUUUCUUCAUAUUAUGAGAUAACUGCAGCGGACGUUUACUGACGGAAACAUUUAAGUUGUGAAUCUUGUCUUGUCUAUCAUCUGCUCCUCACCAGAUCUGUUUUAAUGUUGCCACUGCUUUGUGCAGAGCUCAGCAAUUAACUGUAUGUCUGGAGAUAUACUACAACAAGAGAGCUCUCUCUCUCCCUCUCUCUCUCCCUCUCCCUCUCUCAUCUGUACACCAUCCAUUCCAUUUAUGAAAAUGUUUGCCCUUGCCUUUUCAAGAAUCUCUCAGUAAGACAAGCUGAUAAUUCCUGACAGCCACACAGGCCUGCAGUCGAUCUUACACGUAAACAUAGCUGUAAAUACACAUGAAGCUACAUUUUCAAUCUCCUGAGUCUGCAAAAGUGCACAGCACUGAGCUGAAUGUUCUCAGUCUUCAAACAACGAUGGCUGAAGUGCUUUGUUCUUUCAAAGACACCUAAAAAAACAUCUAUUCACUUCAGUCCUUUUCCCCUUCAGUCAACCGUUAAUACGGUAAAGUGCACUGUCAGCAUUAUAAAUGUUUCCAGUGACGUAAGAGGCGGAAAAAUAUCAAUGGAAACCGAGGGUUGAGGGUUCAGUGUGAGGGCACCUGCUGCGUGUCACCAUCUCGCUUCACAUUUUGAAGACAUCGCUGCCUGUCAGAUACACUCAGUCCAAACACAAUAUCUUCCAAGGUCAAACUUUUCAUCUUCUUUUCAUUUGUUUAUGUAAUUACAAAUGACUUCUUUUUAUUCAGUAAAUGUGUUUUGAAAUACCGCUGCCUCCUACUGUAGACCUUGCUCAACAAGUCUGUCAAAGCAGUAUUGGAAAACAAGGCCAAAGGGUCGUGAGUAUAGAACACAAGCUCGCCUGGUUUUCCAACCCCAACAAAGGUCUCUGAUCCGUGGUGAAACCCAAGGCCAGCAUCAAAGGAGGAGUGCACUGCACCAAGUGCCAUUUAGGGCCACUGCAAUCAACACUUGGAGCUCGGUUUUCAUUAAUCAAUAUCAAAUUGAUUUUAUCCAAGUCUUAUGACAUGAUAUGGAUGAACACAAGAGCUGAAAUAUCUGAGUGUAAUCCAAUGACAGCUCCACUGGCUCCAUGUCCAGUGGCUGAUUCAAAUCAGAGUCCUCGGUGCCAACAAAUACUUUUAUUGUUCCCACUCAUAAACUUUGUUCUAUUUUUAACUACGUUAACUAAUAUUUGAAACGAACACCGCUGUGGCAUCAGGAUAAAAUUGGUGCAGAGGCGAGUUUGAACGCUACGCUAGUAGGUUUUCGCUGACUUGAUCUGCUGAGCAGCCUGCAGUCUUUGGUGUCGUAUUCUGCGCCUCAUCAAGAGCCAGACAUUUUUAAAUAAGGGACAGAUGUGUGGACUGUAAUCAGGUCAGACGGUCCAGUUUAUUUAGUGUCUACAAAGCAUUGCUUUUUGCAGUUUGUGUAGAAUGAAUCCUGCAGAAAUCCACUGAGGUCCUUGGAGAUAAGUUCUCUGAUCAAUGGUUAAUAUUCAUGUGCAGUACUGUAUAUGCAGCGCAAAGAUACUUGGAGAUAAGUCUGAUCAUUUUAAUACGUGUCACAAUGAUAA